GCCCGCUUGGCUCAGUGGUAGAGCGUGUCACUAGUAAAUCCCUUCAACACACCUAGGUCAAUGACAAGGUCAUCAGUUCGAUUCUGAUAGUGGGCA